UGGUGACGAUGGCGAAAUGGACACACCUGUUCCCAUCUCGAACACAGAAGUUAAGCAUUUCAGCGUCGACAAUAGUCCUAUGGGGCGAAGAUAGAACGUUGCCAGGCA
rnacentral:rRNA from 1 species